GACGAACGCUGGCGGCGUGCUUAACACAUGCAAGUCGAACGGAAAGGCCCUGCUUUUGUGGGGUGCUCGAGUGGCGAACGGGUGAGUAACACGUGAGUAACCUGCCCUUGACUUUGGGAUAACUUCAGGAAACUGGGGCUCAUACCGGAUAGGAGCUCCUGCUGCAUGGUGGUGGUUGGAAAGUUUCGGCGGUUGGGGAUGGACUCGCGGCUUAUCAGCUUGUUGGUGAGGUAGUGGCUUACCAAGGCUUUGACGGGUAGCCGGCCUGAGAGGGUGACCGGCCACAUUGGGACUGAGAUACGGCCCAGACUCCUACGGGAGGCAGCAGUGGGGAAUAUUGCACAAUGGGCGGAAGCCUGAUGCAGCAACGCCGGGUGCGGGAUGACGGCCUUCGGGGGGUAAACCGCUUUCGCCGGUGACGAAGCGUGAGUGACGGUAAUGGGUAAAGAAGCACCGGCUAACUACGUG
rnacentral:rRNA from 1 species